CUCCGGGCGGCGCUGGGGGGCGGGGAGCCGGGCAACCCGAGCGGCCGGGUGGGCGGGGGGUCGGGAGUGGCCAGCCAAUCGGGCGGACGGAGCCGCCUCAGGGAAGGACGCUCGGGCCAAUGGGAAGGGCACUCCAUUCCGUCAACGCCGUGGGUCGGGGUUCUGAGAAGGGAGAGCCGAGGGGGAGUCGGGCCAGGCUGGUGCGUGCCCUAGGGAGGGGGAAAGAGAGGGAGAAGUUCCUGCGAAGCACUGCGGGAAUGUGCGGCUGGAAUUCACUGUCCCCCGGCUUAGGCUGCUGAGGGGGCGCUGGGCCCUGCUCGAGGAUCCUCGCGCGGCGACCGGGGACCCUCCGCCACCCAUCACUCCAGCCCUGGGAUUCCAGUGCCUUAAGAAGGACGCUGUUCAAGAAGAUCAUUAAGAGAAAGAGAUGUGGACCUCACCUCUUCCUGUUUACCCUCUUCAAGGAAGCUCUCCCUCCCUGCCCAGAACUGAAAUACCUGCAUCAGGCAGGUCAUGGUUCCUAAGAAUGGAUACAAUGUUCAAGAAAUGGUUGCAAUUUUUUCCCUGAAGAGGAAUUUUUGAGACCUUUUUUGCAGAUCUCACACGGUUGUCAUUGUCGUUGGAUGGCUCAUGAU